rnacentral:pre_miRNA from 2 species
GAUAUCAACUGAAAAAGUCAUCAACAACAAAGUUGAAUAACUCAUCAAGAUCUAAAACUUUUAUUUUGGUCAUUUCUUCAUACGACAAAGUGAUAGUAACAUUGUUCACAAAAUUGACAUAUCUCUUAUCUAGUUUUAUAAACUAUAACACAUAUAUGUAAAAUUUGUGAAUAAUAUUACUAACAUUUCGUCGGAUGAAGAAAUAACAAAAAUAAAAGUUUUAGAUCUUGAUGAGUUAUUCAACUUUGUUGUUGAUGACUUUUUCAAUUGAAAUC